CACCGCCGAUGGAUGCUACUACGUGGCGACCGUCGACGACCAGGAGUAGUUAGGAGGUCCCAGGCAGGAGGCCUUGCCUCUUCGACCGUGUUGCUUUUGUGCUAGCCUUCUUAAGGCACCCAUGUUUAACUCAUGUCUGUACUCAGAUAUUGUUGCUUCCGCUGACUCUUGUGUUUCGAGCUUGUAUUCGAGCCCUCGAGGCCCCUGGCUUGUAAUAUAAAGCUUGUAUUAUUUUGAUUUGUGUCUAGAGUUGUGUUGUGAUAUCUUACCGUGAGUCCCUGAUCUUGAUCGUACACAUUUGCGUGUAUGAUUAGUGUACGAUUGAAUCGGGGGCGUCACAAGUUGGUAUCAGAGCCGACUGCCUAUAGGAUCCCCCUUUCCAACUCCUUGGCCGAAGUUGAGUCUAGUUUUGAAAAACGGUUUUACUAACAUGGCUGUGUGGCUUACAGGCCCACGUCGCCAAUUGGGUGGUAUUAGGAUCUUUUAUUCCUCGUCUAUACUCUAGGACUCUGAUCUCUCUUCUAUUCGGGUUAAAUGGUUUUGCAAACUAUAACUCUAGGUUCUUGUAAAUAAUUCUCCCGGAGAGCCCCUUCAUUCCAAAUGAUGGCCCGCUUCACUAGAAGAUUUUAAAUAUACUCUCCGAUGUUUUACUGAGUCCCUCGUACCCUUCGCCGUUGCGGUCCCUACCACCGAUAAAUCCUUAUGCGUAACUACCUAUGUUGUCGUUCAUACCUUCAUCCCCAGUUGCUCUUGUUAUUACAAGAUGUCCUGAAAUACUCUUUGAUGUUCUGACAAUUCUUUAUGCUUAUUGCCCUGCAGUUCCUUUCCGCAUGAAUACCCCUAUGGACAAUUACUUGCGCUUGCCGAGUAUCCGUUCGUCCAUAGUUGUUCAUGUGUUUCACAACAUUCUUUGGAAUGCUAUUCGAUCUUCCAAAAAAUCCUUAGUACUCUAUUGCGCUUGUUCCUUCUUAUCUGCUUACAUUAUGGUUACUUCCAUAUGCCCAACAAUAUUCAAGAAAAUUCUUUUGUGGUUUUUAUUAUGAUCCUCUUGUUUCAACAUGUGUGCGAAUGCAUGCAAUCGUCAGUUGGUCCUUAUAAAUUAUCUUUUCGGCUCAGACGUCUUCCCGAACAUGAGCUAUUUCUCGACCAAUCAAUUUGUUGUCGAUUCUACCCCCUAACUCCUUUUCGACUUAUCCAUACUUAAUCAGAGUGUUUGCUUCUGAUCCCUUGAUUUUGGAAAUCAUAAUCCCCUUUGCAUUCGAGCUUAGAAUUAGUCAGUUGUUUCUAUAGUGUGAUAUCCCUGCAUUCUUUCUUUUUUUGGUUGAGUACCGAUGCUCACAUCAGAUCCCUUGUGAACCACCAGAUCCUUUGUGGGGUUCUAUCCGACAUUGUCCUUCAUAUACCGUAACCUUGUGAGCUUUUCCUCAGAUACAUAAUGCCUUUGGUAAAUUGUAUCUCCUGCUUCCUCAAUCAUGCUCUACUCCGAGCUUGAGUUAUUUACUAGUGAAGUUUGACUCUAUAACUUUGUCGAAGACGAGAAGUAAAUGGAAAGUUAUGCAUUAUAGAAAUGGGAGUCGACCUUGAACCUUGUGUUCAUGCCCAUGGACCUGAUGUGGAACUUAUCAUGGAAGCUUCUUGUUAUAAUAAUAAUCCCCUUGUGAUAACUUCAUCUGUUAUCUAUAUUUGGUCCUUUGCAACUGUGUUUCCAACCCUGAUUGUUCUUAUUUUAUUUAAUUUCUCGGACAAGUGGAAGUACUUGUCUUCUGUAGAUCAUUUCACCCAUCCAAUCUCUGUUCUGCUACACCCUCGAGUGUUACCUUCUGGUAUCUCAAGAAUAUCACGAAACUACAUAACUUCUUAUGAGUUUUUCAUCAACUAUUAUUCUCGCCGAUUCAAUUUUUCCACGGGUUCUGCGUUGUUGAAUACUCGAGAACACCGGUAAUUGAUUCAGGUCUCCAUUGCUUUGUUUAACCCUUCUUGUGAUCUGACAUAUCUGAGCAGUGAUAAUUCCCUGCUUAUGUAAACACCUCAGUGUACAAACUCUGUCAGUAAGACCUUGUUACUAUUGUUGAUGACAUUUUAGUAGCCACCGAUGGACGAGAACUUUGCCUAUUGGUCUGCCUCGUCUUAACGAGCAGGAAAAUGGUUCUCUUCGUCCCUUGCCCUUGGUACCAACGUUAUUGCCAACAUAACUGACAGGUUGUCCUCUGACCUGCCUUGCUAUCAUGACCGUGCAAUAUGUAACGCCUUCUUGGUUUAACCCACAUGCUGGGCCCAUAACCCACAGUUCCACAGGAACGAAACCUGACUCUCCUGUACAUCUCUAUCUUCUAAAAUUGUUUCUCACACUUGGUUUUGUAUGUAAUUCGCGAGCCACCUUCCUUGUGAUCUGUUCUGGUAUCAGAUGCAAUACUUAUUCCCAUUGCUAUGAACCUCUUUCACCCUCUGUUUCAGGCAACGAAUGGUUGCCUACCCGGUUGAAGCUUCUUAUUGCACCUCCUUACCUUGCUCUGGAUGACUUGCUUGAAUUUCAACUCGAGAGAUGCCUCUAUGACACGCUCACCGAGAUAGCCCCCAAGUACCUAUCUUGUGUUGAGCUUCAUCCUUUUCGAGUCUUUCCCCCUUACUCCACCCCUUAAAUCUCGGGACGAGAUUUCUUGUAGUGGAGGAGAUUUGUAAUGCCCGGAUAAUCAAGCUACAGUAAUCCCCUACUAAUGAUGCCACGUCAUCACUGUUAUUGUUGCUAAUCUCACUUUGAUUCAAAACCAAUUCAAAUUCAUUUUUAAAAUAAAGUCAAAUAAAUUAAUUCUCCAAACAGUAAAACAAAAAUGUUCGCUGGGUUGCUUAUUUUCACUAACUAAAUGUCAUGAGUGAUUCAACAUCAUUUGAGAUAGCUAAUUUCCCCGGGAAUUAAAGGAGCUCCAAAUAAGCAUUUUAAAGUGUUUUUCCAUUUGUGAAAAAUCCAAAUCAAUUCAAACUCUUCCCUAACUUUUGUGGCAGGUGCCAAAUAUUGUAAUGUAUUUAUUUGGUCAAGUCCCACAUUUUUACAGAAGUCCUUUUGGCAGCUCAAAUAUUGCAUAGCAAUUUUUUUUUUGUAAAAAGAAAAGAGCAAAAGAAAGGGCGAGGAGAGAAAAGAAGCCCCCAGCUCCCCAUGGGCCUCGCCCCAUCCCACCUCAGCCGGCCAGCCCACCCCGACUGGCCCAGCCGCGCCUGCAUAACCUCCCCCCGUGGAACCCUAGGGCCCAACCACACCUACCCCCGCACUCCUCACGAUCCCCCUCACAUCUCUCGCUCUCACUGACCCUCCCCCGAUCCAGAUCAGGGGCAGCGACCCCGGUGCUCGCGCCGGCCCCGUGACCGUGGCCAGCCCUGUGUCGGCGCCUCGCCACCUCGCCGAUGCCGCUGCCCUGCCGUCCUCCUCCUCGCCCUCCUCUCCUUCGCGCGACGCCCGCCUAAUGCCGCGGCCUCGCCUCGUCGUCGACCCAACGCCGUCGCCCAUCGUCAUCGCCAACCCGUCGCCGCCUCGUCGUCUACCGCGCCGCCCGGAGCUCCGGCGCCUCCCCGACUCCUCCUCGCGCCCACUAAUGCACAACUACAGGGCCCGGUGAAGCCCCCUCUUCUGUUUCCCCCCUCUCCCUUCCCUCCCGUCGUCAUAGGUCGCUCCGUCGUCACGUCUGAGCUCUCGAGGAGCUCGCGGUGACUGCGCCCUCGCUUGCGCCGCCGUCACCGCGCUUGCCGCCUGUCCCGAGCAUGCAUGCCCCUCGGCUACCUCCUACCGCGCUUAUCGCGUGCUGCAGUCCCCGUCCCGCGCCCGCCACGUGCAGCCCGCGCGCUGGCCACGCUGCGGCCGGCGUCGCCGCCCCCUGGUGGCCUCGGGCGCACACGGGCGCCCACGCCCGCACCCAUUUCGCCCGCCCCGCUAAGGCCCCCUAGGCCACUGACAUUAGGGGCCCACGCCCCUGUUAAAAACGCUUAAAAAUAUAUAUAUAUAUAUAUAACAUCAAUAAUAAUAAUAAUAAUAAUAAUAAAUUAAUUUAAUUAAUAAAUUAACUUAAAUUAUUCUGUUUAAUUUACCUAAUAAACUGGUUUAGUUAAUUAAUACCUGUUAAUUAAGCUAUGACUAUGACAGCAGGACACACAUGUCAGUUUGACCAGUCAACAGUUUGUUGACUGGUGACAUCAUGAUGACGUCAGGCUGACAUUAUAAUUCCAAUUUUGAAUAAAUAAUGAUUUCAGGAAUUGUUUAAAUCUUUAAAAAAUCAUAGAAAAUAAUCCGUAACUCGGAUGAAAAUGUUUUCUACAUGAAAGUUGCUCAAAACGACGAGACGAAUACAGAUGCGCGGUCCGUUCGUCUGCCAUACGUCUCUAGCAUAGCGAACCUGCAAACUUUCCCCUCCGGUUCAUUUGUCUGACAAACGUCCGAGACCGGGAAAACUUUCCCGGAUGUUUCCCCCUUCGCCAGUAUCACCUAGUACCGUGUUAGAACACGUCUAGCUCUGUCUGUUGUCCUGUUAUGCUCUUGCGUACUAUGUAUUUACUGUUUCUUCCCCCUCUUCUCUCCGGUAGACCUUGAGACCGCUGCUGAUGCCCCUGUGAUCGACUACGUCGACGACGACCCUCCUUGUUUGAGCAACCAGGCAAGCCCCCCCUUUGAUCAUCCCGAUAUCGCCCAUUCUAUUAUCUCAGGCUUGCAUUAGAUUUUGCUACUGUUAUUGGUUGCUCCUAUUCUGAUGCAUAGCCUGCUUUUGUACCUGCUUAUUAUACCUACCUGCUUGUCCUAAACUGCUUAAUAUAGGUUGGUUAGUGAUCCAGUGACCCCCAGUACUUGUCCUUGUUGCCCCUGCUUCACAUCGAUGACUCGAUCAGCGUGAUCGACGACCAAAGCCCGACACCUCACAUCACAUCACGCCCCUUUUGUUGCUCGACUCUGCAGAGCUACUAUCGAGUGCCGAGGGUGAUCCCUCAUAACGCACUCCUGAUUAUAAUUCUGUAGUGUAGCUAUCUGGUCGUGGUUAUCGAGGGUGAUUUCCUCUUUCACCAUUCCCGAUACGGCUCUGUCGUUCAACACCUCAAGUGUGAACCUCGAGGGUGGUCCCUCUUACGUUCACCUUGAUGAUUACAUUGAGUGGAAUCCAUCGGGGGUGAUUCCUCGGGUUUUCCCCUUGAUGUUUGGACACACUGUUACCUUGACUUUACUUGAGACCUUGGUGAAAGUCGGGCGGGCCCGGAGAGCACCCGCAAGAUAAUGACGUGGCACGGCCGGGCAUUCUAGGCCCUUGUCGUAAGUCCACGAGACGGGGCGAUGGGGUCACUUUCGAUCGUGAGUCUCUGCUAGUCUCCGCAAGUUAAUAAUACACUAUGGUUUGGGUAUUUGUUCUGAGUUGGCAUUUGGCCUUUACGCACUAACCACCACGCGAGAAUAGUUAUGGGCCUCGACGUCGCAGUAUCAGCCGAAGUUUUGUCAGACGUCCAGUUCAGCAUUGCGGCACGGCUGGGCUGGCACCCUAGAGGUGGUGUCUAGGUCCGCCCUGCACGUAACGAUCCGGAGUGCAACGGUCGAUGGGCCCAGACCCCGGAAUGCUUAGGAUGUAGACCGGCGGGGACCUCUCUGCUGAGCCUAGGUCGGGCUGCGACGUGUUGAUCUUCCGAGGGCGGGCAUUGACCCCAGAAAGGUGUGUCCGACUAGAGUGAUCGAGCGUGUUGGGUAACGUGUUGCACCCCUGCAGGGAAGAUUAUCUAUUAAUAGUCGUGUCCACGGUAAUGGACGUUCAGACUUAUAUCCUGAUCUUAUACAACUACAAAUGGAUACUUGAGAUAUGUGGCUCCGGGAUUAUUUUCUUGCAGGGAGUCGAGGAAGGAUCUCUGGGCAUUAAUGUUACAACACGUUUGUAAUUAUAAACUGCUAUUCUUUACUCUUCUACAUGCUGCAAGAUGCUCGAGCUGCGUGAAGAUGCUAGUCUUCGAUAGGCUAGGCUUUCCCCCUCUAUUCUGGCAUUCUGCAGUUCAGUCCACAGAUACAACCCUUCCAUUUGAUACAAAUGCAUACUUAGUAUAGAUCUGAUGCUUGCGAGUACUUUGGUUGAGUACUCACGGUUGCUUUGCUACCCCUUUUCCCCCUUCUUUCUUCUUUCUGGUUGAUGCAACCAGAUGGUGGAUCCUUGGAGCCAGAUGCCACCACCGAUUGAUGCUACUACGUGGAGACCGCCGACGACCAGGAGUAGUUAGGAGGUCCCAGGCAGGAGGCCUUGCCUCUUCGAUCGUGUUGCUUUUGUGCUAGCCUUCUUAAGGCACCCUUGUUUAACUCAUGUCUGUACUCAGAUAUUGUUGCUUCCGCUGACUCUUGUGUUUCGAGCUUGUAUUCGAGCCCUCGAGGCCCCUGGAUUGUAAUAU
rnacentral:lncRNA from 1 species